rnacentral:rRNA from 1 species
UACGGGGGGAGCAAGCGUUGUUCGGAUUUACUGGGCGUAAAGGGCGCGUAGGCGGUCAGCACAAGUCAGUUGUGAAAUCUCCGGGCUUAACUCGGAAAGGUCAACUGAUACUGUGCGACUAGAGUGCAGAAGGGGCAACUGGAAUUCUCGGUGUAGCGGUGAAAUGCGUAGAUAUCGAGAGGAACACCUGCGGCGAAGGCGGGUUGCUGGGCUGACACGUGACGCUGGAUGACGCGAAAGCCAGGGGAGCGAACGGG